AGCGAACGCUGGCGGCAGGCUUAACACAUGCAAGUCGAGCGGGCAUCUUCGGGUGUCAGCGGCGGACGGGUGAGUAACGCGUGGGAACGUGCCUUCUGGUUCGGAAUAACUCAGGGAAACUUGAGCUAAUACCGGAUACGCCCUUUUGGGGAAAGGUUUAUUGCCGGAAGAUCGGCCCGCGUCUGAUUAGCUAGUUGGUGGGGUAACGGCCUACCAAGGCGACGAUCAGUAGCUGGUCUGAGAGGAGGAUCAGCCACACUGGGACUGAGACACGGCCCAGACUCCUACGGGAGGCAGCAGUGGGGAAUAUUGGACAAUGGGGGCAACCCUGAUUCAGCCAUGCCGCGUGAGUGAUGAAGGCCUUAGGGUUGUAAAGCUCUUUUAUCCGGGACGAUAAUGACGGUACCGGAGGAAUAAGCCCCGGCUAACUUCGUGCCAGCCGCCGCGGUAA
rnacentral:rRNA from 1 species